rnacentral:rRNA from 1 species
CCUACGGGGGGCUGCAGUGGGGAAUAUUGCACAAUGGGCGAAAGCCUGAUGCAGCGACGCCGCGUGAGCGAAGAAGGCCUUCGGGUCGUAAAGCUCUGUCCUAAGGGAAGAAAAGGACGGUACCUUAGGAGGAAGCCCCGGCUAACUACGUGCCAGCAGCCGCGGUAAUACGUAGGGGGCGAGCGUUAUCCGGAAUUACUGGGCGUAAAGGGUGCGUAGGCGGACUUUUAAGUCAGAUGUGAAAGGCUACGGCUUAACCGUAGUUAGCAUGUGAAACUAGAAGGCUUGAGUGCAGGGGAGGAGAGUGUAAUUACUAGUGUAGCGGUUAAAUGCGUAGAGAUUAGGAGGAACACCAGUGGCGAAGGCGACUAUCUGGACUGCAACUGACGAUGAGGCACGGAAGCGUGGGGAGCAAACAGGAAGAGAUACCCCGGUAGUC